rnacentral:misc_RNA from 1 species
GAUGAAGAACGUAUCGAAAUGCGAUACUUGGUGUGAAUUGCAGAAUCCCGUGAACCAUCGAGUCUUUGAACGCAAGUUGCGCCCGAAGCCAUUAGGCCGAGGGCACGCCUGCCUGGGCGUCACACGUUGUUGCCCCCCCAUCUACUCCUUCGGGAUUGCGGGGGGCGGAUGAUGGCCUCCCGUGCGCCUCGCCGCGCGGUUGGCAUAAAUGCCAAGUCCUCGGCGACGCACGCCACGACAAUCGGUGGUUGCGAAACCUCGGUUGCCCGUCGUGUGCGGUCGUCGCGCAUCGAGGGCUCGAAAAAAUUGCCGGGUUCCGGCUCGGCUUUCAACGCGACCCCAGGUCAGGCGGGGUUACCCGCUGAAUUUAAGCAUAUCAAUAAGCGGAGGA